GAGGAGGCUGGGGCCCAAAUGUCUGAUUACCAAGAGGGGAGGAAACUGGCAAGAUGAGGGUUGCUAUGUGACAUACAGAAAAAUAUGAUCAGGGCAGAGGAAGCAAUUGCUUUUGGCGGAAGCUUCAUCGGAUGGCAAUUUCGACACCAAGGCCUCCCUUCCCACCCUGAGCCUGCCCACUGGGGAAUUCCAGGAGAUGGCCCAGAGGAAGGGAGAGGGGAAGGCAACUGAGGGGAAGAGGCAGGGUCACCGCGGGCCCAUCCCCAACAGCCUAAGGACACAAACUGCACCCAGGAAGGAGUCUGACCUGUGGGCCUGGAUUCUGGGGCCCCAGAGAAGCCGCGGGCCCAGGACCGGGAAAGCGAGAAGAAAGUUUGGACAGAGCCCAGCAUGUGGGGUUACCUGUCUGUGCUGCCUGCUUUCCUGGCCUUUUCCGCUAUCACUGGAGUCUGGAGCGUCCGCCUGGAUCUGCAUUAUCCGUUACCACCAGCUCCGGGACUGGGGAGUCAGAAAAUGGUUUAACCGGCUGAUCCUGUGGACGGGGCUCCUGUGUGCCCUGGGCACCUCCGUGGUGGGCAACUUCCAGCAAAAGAACCAGCUGCACAUGCACCUGGUCGGGGCCUUCUUUGCCUUAUUCCUGGGCAACUCCUACUUUUGGCUGCAGCUUAUUCUUGUCUGGUACAUGAGGAGACUGCCCCAGCCUGGGCCCCCCUGGAUGGGGCCACUCCGUCUGGGCCUCUGCAGCCUCUGCACCAUCCUCUUGGUGACCAUGAUGAUCCUCCACUUCUGGCCGCUGCGUUCGGCCUCUGCCGCCUGCGAGUGGGCCAUCGCCAUGCUGCUGUUUGCACUUUUCGGCCUGUUUGCUGUGGACUUUUCUUGCCUGGACGGCUGCACCCUACACCUCCAGCCGGGCCACCUCAGCUCCCCGCCAGCCUCCCCCACCUCCCUGCAGAUUCACCUGUGAACAGUAGCCCGGAUGAUGAGGUCUGGGCCCCCUCCCUCCGUGCUGCCAUCAGGGCCACCCAGGAAAGACACGGACGCAGGCAGGGUCACGCGAAACCAGAAUUCCUUCCGGAGAGCAAAUCCGUACAGAAG